rfam:Streptomyces sparsogenes DSM 40356 contig00566, whole genome shotgun sequence.
GCCGGGAGCCCCAUUGCGGGGCCACGAAGAAGGUAAUGGGGGAGGCUCCAAACCGCCUCAUGCUGGGUUGGCUGAAGACCGUCGUGGUGAGCGAUGAGGAAAAGGCGCCGUAUGAGGCGUCAGGU